rnacentral:rRNA from 1 species
UUGAAGAGUUUGAUCAUGGCUCAGAUUGAACGCUGGCGGCAGGCCUAACACAUGCAAGUCGAGCGGAAACGAGUUAUCUGAACCUUCGGGGAACGAUAACGGCGUCGAGCGGCGGACGGGUGAGUAAUGCCUAGGAAAUUGCCCUGAUGUGGGGGAUAACCAUUGGAAACGAUGGCUAAUACCGCAUGAUGCCUACGGGCCAAAGAGGGGGACCUUCGGGCCUCUCGCGUCAGGAUAUGCCUAGGUGGGAUUAGCUAGUUGGUGAGGUAAGGGCUCACCAAGGCGACGAUCCCUAGCUGGUCUGAGAGGAUGAUCAGCCACACUGGAACUGAGACACGGUCCAGACUCCUACGGGAGGCAGCAGUGGGGAAUAUUGCACAAUGGGCGCAAGCCUGAUGCAGCCAUGCCGCGUGUGUGAAGAAGGCCUUCGGGUUGUAAAGCACUUUCAGUCGUGAGGAAGGUAGUGUAGUUAAUAGCUGCAUUAUUUGACGUUAGCGACAGAAGAAGCACCGGCUAACUCCGUGCCAGCAGCCGCGGUAAUACGGAGGGUGCGAGCGUUAAUCGGAAUUACUGGGCGUAAAGCGCAUGCAGGUGGUUUGUUAAGUCAGAUGUGAAAGCCCGGGGCUCAACCUCGGAAUAGCAUUUGAAACUGGCAGACUAGAGUACUGUAGAGGGGGGUAGAAUUUCAGGUGUAGCGGUGAAAUGCGUAGAGAUCUGAAGGAAUACCGGUGGCGAAGGCGGCCCCCUGGACAGAUACUGACACUCAGAUGCGAAAGCGUGGGGAGCAAACAGGAUUAGAUACCCUGGUAGUCCACGCCGUAAACGAUGUCUACUUGGAGGUUGUGGCCUUGAGCCGUGGCUUUCGGAGCUAACGCGUUAAGUAGACCGCCUGGGGAGUACGGUCGCAAGAUUAAAACUCAAAUGAAUUGACGGGGGCCCGCACAAGCGGUGGAGCAUGUGGUUUAAUUCGAUGCAACGCGAAGAACCUUACCUACUCUUGACAUCCAGAGAACUUUCCAGAGAUGGAUUGGUGCCUUCGGGAACUCUGAGACAGGUGCUGCAUGGCUGUCGUCAGCUCGUGUUGUGAAAUGUUGGGUUAAGUCCCGCAACGAGCGCAACCCUUAUCCUUGUUUGCCAGCGAGUAAUGUCGGGAACUCCAGGGAGACUGCCGGUGAUAAACCGGAGGAAGGUGGGGACGACGUCAAGUCAUCAUGGCCCUUACGAGUAGGGCUACACACGUGCUACAAUGGCGCAUACAGAGGGCAGCCAACUUGCGAAAGUGAGCGAAUCCCAAAAAGUGCGUCGUAGUCCGGAUUGGAGUCUGCAACUCGACUCCAUGAAGUCGGAAUCGCUAGUAAUCGUGGAUCAGAAUGCCACGGUGAAUACGUUCCCGGGCCUUGUACACACCGCCCGUCACACCAUGGGAGUGGGCUGCA